UUGUGCCUGAGAUCUGACACGGACCCGUACAGGGGAAGUCGGUGAUCCUAUGCUGCCAAGAAAAUCUUCUAGCGAGGUUCGAGCCGCCCGUACCCCAAACCGACUCAGGUGGUUAGGUAGAGAAUACCAAGGCGAUCGAGUGAAUCGUGGUUAAGGAAUUCGGCAAAAUACCCCCGUAACUUCGGGAGAAGGGGGGCCCAGAGGGUGACGGGACUUGCUCCCCGAGCCUGAACGGCCGCAGAGACCAGGGAGAAGCGACUGUUUACUAAAAACACAGGUCCGUGCCAAGUCGCAAGACGAUGUAUACGGACUGACGCCUGCCCGGUGCUGGAACGUUAAGGGGACCGGUUAGCCUCACGGCGAAGCUGAGAACUUAAGCGCCAGUAAACGGCGGUGGUAACUAUAACCAUCCUAAGGUAGCGAAAUUCCUUGUCGGGUAAGUUCCGACCUGCACGAAUGGCGUAACGAUUCCUCCACUGUCUCAACCACGAACUCGGCGAAAUUGCACUACGAGUAAAGAUGCUCGUUACGCGCAGAAGGACGGAAAGACCCCGGGACCUUUACUACAGCUUGGUAUUGGUGUUCGGUACGGCUUGUGUAGGAUAGGUGGGAGACUGUGAAGCUGACACGCCAGUGUCGGUGGAGUCAACGUUGAAAUACCACUCUGGUCGUUCUGGAUAUCUAACCUAGGUCCGUGAUCCGGAUCAGGGACAGUGCCUGGUGGGUAGUUUAACUGGGGCGGUUGCCUCCUAAAAGGUAACGGAGGCGCCCAAAGGAUCCCUCAGCCUGGUUGGCAAUCAGGUUUUGAGUGUAAGUGCACAAGGGAGCUUGACUGUGAGACUGACAAGUCGAACAGGGACGAAAGUCGGGACUAGUGAUCCGGCGGUGGCUUGUGGAAGCGCCGUCGCUCAACGGAUAAAAGGUACCCCGGGGAUAACAGGCUGAUCUUGCCCAAGAGUCCAUAUCGACGGCAUGGUUUGGCACCUCGAUGUCGGCUCGUCGCAUCCUGGGGCUGGAGUAGGUCCCAAGGGUUGGGCUGUUCGCCCAUUAAAGCGGUACGCGAGCUGGGUUUAGAACGUCGUGAGACAGUUCGGUCCCUAUCCUCUGCGCGCGCAGGAAACUUGAGAAGGGCUGUCCCUAGUACGAGAGGACCGGGAUGGACGAACCUCUGGUGUGUCAGUUGUUCUGCCAAGAGCACCGCUGAUUAGCUACGUUCGGGAGUGAUAACCGCUGAAAGCAUCUAAGCGGGAAGCAUGCUUCAAGAUGAGGUUUCCAUGGGGUUUACCCCGAGAGGCUCCCAGCUAGACUACUGGGUUGAUAGGCCGGAUGUGGAAGUGCGGUAACGCAUGGAGCUGACCGGUACUAAUAAGCCU
rnacentral:rRNA from 1 species